AUACUUACCUGGGCGGGGUUUAUGGGUGAUCUAGAAGGCCCAUGGCCUAGGUUGGUGACUUCCAUUGCACAUUGGAUGGAUGCCACCUAAGGUCGGCCCAAGUGGUCGAGCCUACGUCAUAAUUUGUGAUAGUGGGAGCCUGCGUUCGCGCGGCCCCUAU